CCCAUCUCUAGGCGUUAGUCACUUGCCGGCUUCCUUCUUUGAAUGAGCUCAGCUCCAGCCCCUUCCAUUCUCGCAGCUGUUAAGCUCUGGCCACUGCCACCACCUCCUCUCCGAACACCACCACUGGUCUUCCCCUGCCCUGGGCCAGGGCCAGAGCUGGGCUUUGGCUCGGGUGGCCUUUGUGGAAUGCACCAUGGUGACAGCCAGAGCAGCCCCAGCUCUCAGACUCCCCCACCUCCACCCUCAGGAGGCUUGCAGCUGCUUUUUGAUAGGGAGAGCUAAGGCAGACCCCAAACUCUCUGCAAAAGAGGGCUACUUCUCUCUCAUCCCUCCUAGGGGCCCAGAGGACAGGGCAUCAGAAAAUCAGUAAAGGAGAGAGGGAUUGGAAGCAGAUGGGCAGAGAAGCCUGUUGUCACGUUUACCUGCCAUCCCUGGCCUCACCAGUUCUGCCCCACAGGUACUCGCUCCAUCAGGAGAUCCCACUCCAACAUCACCACUUCCCUCUAGGGCAUGCUAGGAACCCCAGUGGGAGCACCUGGCCGAUGUCUCCAAGAUUCAGUCACUGAUCAGUUCCAGCCUCACGGCCCCCUCUAUGACCCUGGGGAGGAGACGGCUGGUGAACCCUCACCAGCACCACACUGGGCUCUGCUGUUAUGUCAGGACAUACCAGCUGGAGAGGGAUGGGGAUAAGGGAUAAGACUCAGGACUAAGGCACAGUCUAGCCCCACACACAAGGGGCGUGCAAACCACCUCUGAGAGAAGCAAAGGAAAACUGUGGGCACCCACUCCCUGCUCCUCCCCAACCCCAGGGUGGGAGGGGGUCGCCCAGCUGAGCAGGAAGCAGCUGGGAACCCAAGGACCCCCUCAUCCAAAGGAAGAGAGUCCCUGAGGCAAAGGCAGGCCUUGACCCAGGGCUGGGAACCCUGGGGGCAGGGAAGACAGAGGCAUGGUGGAAAGCACAGGAGGAGUGAGCCAAUGGGAGGUUGGAGGGUGCAGCCUCUCAGGUGGGAGGGGGAGGAGCAGGGGAGAGCCGGGCUCAGGAGUGCCUGGAGUGGCCAUGGUCCUGCCAUGCCAGGGGAGGGGUUGCCAGCAUUGGCAGGGCUGGGACAGGCAUACCAGAGACCCAGGACAUUGGCUUGCUACCUCUGCAGCCCAAUUCCCCAAGUAGAAAUGCUAGGAAAGGCAUAGGGAGCACUCAGGUGCUACAGGAAGGCUCAAGGCGGCCCUUCCUGAGCCCCUCAGUAACCCGGAGAGCAGAGGAACAGGCUAGGUGGGCAGGACCUCUCAAGACCAAGGCAGCCAGCCCUGGUUGGGAGGGCUUAAAAACUCUGAACAGGGGAGGGGAUAGGCAGAUAGGGUCCUGGGGCAGGGGAAAGGAAGUUCCCUACUUGAGGAACUGGGGCGAGUCUGGCAUCCUGUGAAGCCAAGGCAGCUCUCACUGUGGGCCUGCCCCCAGCAGCCCCCACCCAAGUCUUCUCCAGAGUCCUCAAGCCCACUCCCACCUCCAGAGGAAGCCACCACUUCCUACACCCCAUCUCCAGGGCCCAGCUCUUCGGACAGCCCUCACGGAUCCUCCCAGUCCCCUGUGAAGAGGAGUCUGGAGGCCCUGCUUGUGCAGGGUGGGGAGACCCCAUCUGCCCAGGUGUCAGGGGACCAGCCCCUCCACACCACCCUACCUCUCCUUUCUUGCUCUUGAAUCUUCCACAGACCCCCUCCACUAGCCAUCCCUUGUCCCUGGGGAGCCCUGACUGGGAAGGGGACGGGCAGGCUGGGCAGGACUCCGGUUUCUUGUGCCCGGAAAGACUA
rnacentral:lncRNA from 1 species